GGAGCUUGCUCUUGUUCGGUCAGCGGCGGACGGGUGAGUAACACGUGGGCAACCUGCCCGCAAGACCGGGAUAACUCCGGGAAACCGGAGCUAAUACCGGAUAACACCGAAGACCGCAUGGUCUUUGGUUGAAAGGCGGCGCAAGCUGCCACUUGCGGAUGGGCCCGCGGCGCAUUAGCUAGUUGGUGAGGUAACGGCUCACCAAGGCGACGAUGCGUAGCCGGCCUGAGAGGGUGACCGGCCACACUGGGACUGAGACACGGCCCAGACUCCUACGGGAGGCAGCAGUAGGGAAUCUUCCGCAAUGGGCGAAAGCCUGACGGAGCGACGCCGCGUGAGCGAAGAAGGCCUUCGGGUC
rnacentral:rRNA from 1 species